GUUACAGACUGUUGGAAACUCGGGAUCUGCUAAUGGGAUCCAUCAACAGGAUAAAUCCCACAAGCAGGAGGAGAAGCACUGAUAGAGAAGAAGAGCUGGAGAGGACCAUUUCAUGCCAGUAUCUCCUUCUGCGCCCCAACAGGAAAAGGAUGCACCUCCUAAAGACUAGCAACAGUAUUUUCACUUUAAAAGCAGGACUGUUUAUAAUGUACUAACUGACCUAAGUAGGACAAUCCCUUGGUUCGUAUUUUCUAAGACGAGCAUCAUUCCAGAAGGAGCGGUAUGGCAACCUACCUGUGUAAAGAGCCUUUUGUUUUGCUUUCUUAUCCGUAUCGGUUUUGACUGUGAAAUUUGUAUCGGCUGAGUGAACAAUCUCCAUUCAUCCUACCUGAACAAUGUGGUCUGGUUGAGAGCUGAUGGCUGAAACGUCAUCAGUGAUUCCUAGAACCCUAGAGGAAAUGCAAAGGGGUUUGCUUGGGGCAUUAGAAAAUUCCUAAGUGUGCUCCCAAAGGCUGCACUCUCCACGCCAGGUAAUCCCUGACCCUCUCCCCCACCCACCCACUCACAUAGUAUGAAGAACUACAGAAAUGAGUCAAACCUGCUAGGCUGACUGUGCUCAAGCCAGUAAGCAUGGAUUGUAGAAGAAGAGCUGCUGGGACAGUCCUCCCCCUUCCCUGCAUAGAAGACCUCUCAGCUGUAGCCCUCGGAGACUCCACUUAGUACUGUAUGAUAGCACAGGUGGAACCUCAUCUGAUUUCAGGUGAUAUAAUUUAUUUCAGCUGUUUGUGAGUCAGUGUUUACUCUGAGUUGAUGAAGGGGAGGGAGCCUCUGGUGGGGGUGAGUACAGGUCUCCUUAGCCUCUCUCCUCCGAGAGGUCUCUUAGCAGGACCGGCUGUGCCGGGGCCCAGAGCCAGGGCCCAUGGGGGUGUUGUGGCAUGUGGUGGCACUGUAGGCCCGUACACAGCAAAGCUUUGGAGGCAGCUGGCUAGAACCUUUGUAUGCCUGUUUGUGAGGGUCUGGGCAGAAAACCCACACACAGGAUGUAGUCGCAUCGGACAGAGGCUGCUAGGCUCUGAUUCCCUCUCCACUGCUAUCCACAGAACGGUAAUCACUAGCUGGAAGAGUUGGGCCAGCCUAGCAUUAGGCUGCUUUGGGGUUGCCCCUACCAUUCUCAGUACAAUAUCCAACGGGAGAGGGUAACAUGUUGCUGGGAGCACUCGUGCAAGAGUGCCGUAUACCAGGGACUGAGGAGGAUAGUGAAACAAAGGCCGUCUAGAGCAGACGAGCUCCAGCUGUAACCAGAGCAGAUUUCUGUUCUUUCCUCUAUUUGCUGGGCACCUCAGACUCCCCCUACUUGCUGUAAGUGGGAGUUUGGGGUGCAGGUUUGGGCUCCAAAAUGACACUGAAGGUCACAUUUGUAAAGCAGGAGCUCCAUGCCAUGUGCACAGAAAUCCAGGCACAACUGAGCACCCAGAUUUGCACAAAGAACUGUUGCCGUUGUGGGUGCGGAGAGCCAGUUGGCCACCUCUGUAGCCAUCUGCAAUAACUGUCCAUGCAGGAGGAGGAACCCCACUGCCUGUGUGCAUUUGCAUAUGGACCGGUCCCUAUGCCAAGGGCUAUAUUCUAGUCUCAGUCUUUGCACUAAACUCCCAUUGGGCUGAAUGGGAUGAUACUUGGGUGGAGUGAGGGUGGAAUAUGGUCCUAAGUGUCUGAGACAAACCCCUGGCUCUGAAAAGGAGCAUUCGCCUUUCGAUACCCUGGGACCAGAGGGAUGGGGCAGCUUCCCAAGGGGGGAUCAGUACCUGGAAUGUGGGGCAGGGCUUAGAUUGACAUAUUGCAGCACCAGAGAAACGACUAAAAUUUAAUGGCAAUCCCCUGGUUCUGGGGGAGAAGCGGCUCGUCAUGGAAACAAACGACUGUUCUUGAUGCUGUUUGAUCCUUCCCCCCGCCCUCCUCCAAGGGAAUUAAUUGCAGAAUCCCUUUUGGGAGGUACACAAAUCAAAUUGUUUCCUAUUUCUCUGGAAAUGCAGCAUUUUGGCUAUAUUUACUAUAACGCGGCCAAACGACGUUAGGGUGUGAACAGCUCCGUCUCUUCUCUGGGCGGCCCUGUGCCUCUCUGAAAUGCCUAGAUCAAGUCCACCUCUCUGCUCCGCUCUCCAGCUCUCUGCUGCACAUCCUGGGCUAGAACUCCCGUGGACGUGGACAAGAGCUCCCAGCGUGGCAGGACACGGCAUAGGUGUUGACUUCCUGUGAAGCAGAACCGUUGCACAUGAGCUGGGAAUCUGGCCCUUCGUUUUCCUGUCUGAUUUUUCUUCAGCCACUUUUGGCUACUCUGAAAUUCUCCAGCCGCACAGAGUCUGGGGCAGCCCGAGGCAAACUGGGAAAGAGCUUUGCCCCACCCCUCCAAGUCUCCUGCACUCGGGAAGCCACUAGACCGCUUGCCGGGCGGUGAAAUAGAGCUAGGCCCUUUUCACCUGGUGGGAAUGGUGGAGACCGGAUCUGUUUCAAUGGUUGAGAUAAGGAGGUGGGUUCAGGAAAGUGAGGCAUGUUAGGAGAAGAAGCCUAAAUUUGGCUAAUGAGUUCAGAGGGUUAACGGGAGUUCAGGUGGGACAGGUCCUGCGGUGUGGAACCAGCCCCCUCUACCUGCAUAGAAGAAUAAAGCACUAAUCAUUGCCUCAGGCUUGGAUUUUCAAAGAGCCUAAGGAGCCAAAAGCCCAUUGCUAGACAAUGGGACUUGUCACCUGAUUCCCCUAGUCUCCUUUGAAAAUCCCAGCACAAGUGUGUAAAAUGUAAUAACCAAGCAAAACUCAUGAGCAGCAGGAGGUGCCGUUUUGAUCAUUUGGGGGGUGGUAUUUUCAAAAGUGUCCAGCAUUGGCUGCCUGACUCUGCUCCUGCUGAAAUUAAUGGUCAAAUGCCCACUGACAUCAAUGGGAGCAUUCGGGGCAAUGCCACGGGCUUUGGAAAACGCCUCCCAGGGCUUAGGGAAGGCAGCACCCAUGUGAGUUCACAGGAGUUCCUGGGACUUACCAAGUGGGAAGGGGGGGUUCGAUUUUGUAAUCAAUCUAUAUUUAUUUUCUGUCUAGUUUGCAAGUGACAAGCCCCCGUUAUCUAAAGAGGAUUAAAUGGCAACUUUCUGCGUCGCUUUGCAACCCUCCUGCUUCCCCGGGUUCAAACAGGAGCUGCCCGCUGGGUGGUGUGCUCUAUGGGCUGGGCUGAAUGGGGCAAAGCUCUGAAGCGAGUGGCACUGCCCUGAAACCAGAGGAGAAUUUGACCUAUCAAGAUGUAUCAGGCCAGUGUACCUGAGCCCAUUCGGUGACCGGGAGAAGGUAGAAGAGAGCCUGCUUUGUAAGCUGGCUUUGACUGUCUUCUCAGGAUCUAAUGCUCUCUAGGAUAUAACUGAGGGGAGAGUAGCCUUCCAGGGAUAGGCCUGGAUGGCCUUACCACAGCAAUGGGCCGCACUGAAUCACACGCUGUCCCGCAGGCUCUGAGUUUGCCCUUUUGGAAAGAGAUCUCUGCACAGAGAGCACCAGCGUGGGGCGAACCCGUUCUGGGACACACCAGUGCAGCCCCAGGCUCUGCCCCUGUGCACCCAGCCAUGUAGGCUCAGCGCCCCAUUUCCAGCUCGCCCUGCGGGCGGGAGAGUUACAACCGAAACAGAUGCCCCUGCUCAGGAGAGCCCAGCCAGGAGCUGCAUGGCUCAGGAAUGCAGAUCACACAGGGUGCAUGUCCUCCCUGUGCGGCGGGGCCAGCACGAGGCCUGUCUUCCACUGAAGUCCUGCAGAAGUGAAACAGGCACCAGAGACAGCGGGGAGGGAUUUCCCGAGUGCACACAGCUCAUGCUGGCCCUCUGCUCAGGUGCCAGCUGCACCCGUAGAUUUUAGGAGACCAAAUUAGAACGAAACACAGAAAGUGACAAGUCAGAGGGUCCCCUUCCACCACAUUUAUUUAUAAGCUUCACGCGACUUUUGCCCAGUACAGUGGUACAUAAAGUACUCUGCAACAUUCUGUGUAACUGGCAUCUUCAGUAUUUUUUUUUUUGCGGGGGAAGUGUGUGUGGGCGCGGGGGUCAUCAAAGGGAAGUUAUGCAGCCAACUCCCAUUGGCAGUCAGUAGGAGUUGGGUGCCUAGCUCCCAUUUGAAAAUCUCUCCAGCGUUAAUCCCAGUGAUCUUGUUCAGAGCUUCAAAUCUGAAGUAAGAUAGGGGGCUGCUUUCUCCUCCGUGACCCCCCCGGUUGUCUCCAUUGCAUGUUCCAUGCUGAUGUCACACCCAGGGCUGUGUGCAGAAUAUGCCUCAGGGAUCAACAACUGCAGUGUGGGUGAGAAGGGAGAAUUUUUCCUCUCCAGUCAAGGGGUCUUGCGUGAGAGCUAGUGACCUGGAAAAGCAGUGCUGAGCUGUCUGCUCCACCCAUGCGCCCUUCCCAUUCGAAGAGCAAUUAAGGGCCUGCACAGUAGUUGAAUCCGUAGGAAUUAUGAGUCCACGCUGUUGAAAAUUGGACUUUCUAUCCAUUGUAUUAGUUCAGUGGCUGGAAGAGUUUUUUGUUUUGUUUUCCCACUGAAGGCUGAGAAAUCAUCUGAAGAAUAAAGUCUCCAUGCCAGCCGGACAGGCUCUUGAAGAUCCAGAUUAGCAACCUUUUCCUCUCAUCCUAGCUAAAGAGAAAUCGUACAAGCAUUUGGAUGGCAGUACUGGCUUUAUCCUUUUCAGAGUUCAGAAAAGUGACGUGGACACACAGUCCCAUGCUAACACCCGUACCCAGUCAUGGGUCCGAAAUUUAUAGUCAAGACAUACCAGCUACUGCCCCAUCCCCUCCUCUGGUCAGUUCCUUUGACUUUCAGUGGAUAUGCAUGAUGGUUUCAUGAAAACAAACAAAAAGAUGCAAAUGAAACCUUCACAAGAUUCCAAUACCCCGUUGUGACAGCAGCUUUUAGCAGUUCACCACUAUCUUGUAGGGAAUUAUUAAUCCACUAAAAUCUAUAGGCCUCCAUGUAAGUUACCAGAAUAAAGGCGAUAGUAGAUGUAUAAAUGGAUGAUAACAUUUUACCCGUACAGUAUGUAUUACAAUUUUGUAGCUUAGUCAUUUUUUUGGCUAUCGAAUUUUGUGAGUAAGAUAAAAAAUGGUUUGACUGCUAAUGUUUGUUUUAUUUGAUUCUUUUCCCUCCCCUUCCUAUGUACAAACGCUGUACAAAUCUGAGUCCAUUGAGUGUAACUACAACCGAUGUGUAUUAAUGUACCACAGACCCCAAUAGUGGCUUGCUAAAGUGUGGUGAGCUCAUACUAAAACAAUAAAACUUGUGGCUGAA